UGAGUACGAGAUGCUACGGCAUCGAAGCAGUCUAUGUCAUACUUCCAAGAAAAGCUUGCAAUGUCAUAAACAAAUAAUGCCUGUACCAUAACCGACACAGGUGGGUAGGUAGAGUAUACUAAGGGGCGCGAGAUAACUCUCUCUAAGGAACUCGGCAAAAUGACUCCGUAACUUCGGGAGAAGGAGUGCCUUAUUUUUAUAAGGUUGCAAUAACAAGAUCCAAGCAACUGUUUACCAAAAACACAGGUCUCCGCUAAGUCGUAAGACGAUGUAUGGGGGCUGACGCCUGCCCAGUGCCAGAAGGUUAAAGAAGUUGGUUAGCAUUAGCGAAGCUGAUAACUGAAGCCCUGGUGAACGGCGGCCGUAACUAUAACGGUCCUAAGGUAGCGAAAUUCCUUGUCGGGUAAGUUCCGACCCGCACGAAAGGCGUAAUGAUUUGGAUACUGUCUCGGAGAGGGGCUCGGUGAAAUAGACUUGUCUGUGAAGAUGCGGACUACCUGCACCUGGACAGAAAGACCCUAUGAAGCUUUACUGUAACUUGAGAUUGAAAUUGGACUUUAUCUGCGCAGUAUAGGUGGGAGACGUUGAAAAUAUUCUUGCGGGAAUAUUGGAGUCAUCAGUGAGAUACCACUCUUAUAAUGUUAGAUUUCUAACUUUGUAUCAUUAUCUGGUCAAAGAACAGUUUCAGGCGGGCAGUUUGACUGGGGCGGUCGCCUCCCAAACGGUAACGGAGGCGCACAAAGGUUUCCUCUGAACGUGUAGAAAUCGUAUCUAGAGUGUAAAGGCAUAAGGAAGCUUGACUGUGAGACCUACAAGUCGAGCAGGGACGAAAGUCGGUCUUAGUGAUCUGACGGUGCUGAGUGGAAAGGCCGUCACUCAACGGAUAAAAGUUACUCUAAGGAUAACAGGCUGAUCUCCCCCAAGAGUUCACAUCGACGGGGAGGUUUGGCACCUCGAUGUCGGCUCAUCGCAUCCUGGGGCGGUAGUACGUCCCAAGGGUUGGGCUGUUCGCCCAUGAAAGCGGUACGCGAGCUGGGUUCAGAACGUCGUGAGACAGUUCGGUCCAUAUCCGGUGUAGGCGUUAGAAUAUUGAGAGGAGCCUUCUUUAGUACGAGAGGACCGAGAAGGACAUACCUCUGGUGUACCAGUUAUCGUGCCAACGGUAAACGCUGGGUAGCCAUGUAUGGAGAGGAUAACCGCUGAAAGCAUCUAAGUGGGAAGCCCACCUCAAGAUAAGUAUUCUCAU
rnacentral:rRNA from 1 species